rnacentral:rRNA from 1 species
ACAGGGAUUGCCCCAGUAACGGCGAGUGAAGCGGCAACAGCUCAAAUUUGAAAUCUGGCCCCCCGGCCCGAGUUGUAAUUUGGAGAGGAUGCUUCUGGCGCGGCGCCGUCCGAGUUCCUUGGAACAGGACGCCACAGAGGGUGAGAGCCCCGUACGGACGGACGCCUAGCCUCUACGAAGCUCCUUCGACGAGUCGAGUAGUUUGGGAAUGCUGCUCAAAAUGGGAGGUAAAUUUCUUCUAAAGCUAAAUACCGGCCAGAGACCGAUAGCGCACAAGUAGAGUGAUCGAAAGAUGAAAAGCACUUUGAAAAGAGGGUUAAAAAGUACGUGAAAUUGUUGAAAGGGAAGCGCCUGUGACCAGACUUGCGCCCCGCGGACCACCCGGCGUUCUCGCCGGUGCACUCUGCGGUGCGCAGGCCAGCAUCGGUUCUCCCAGGGGGACAAAGGCCGCGGGAACGUAGCUCCUUCGGGAGUGUUAUAGCCCGCGGCGGCAUGCCCCUGGGGGGACCGAGGACCGCGCUUCG